rnacentral:rRNA from 1 species
GAAAGGGCGUACGGUGGAUGCCUAGGCACUUGAAACUGAAGAAGGACGCAACAAACGGCGAAACGCGGCGGGGAGCUGUACGUAAGCAAAGAUCCGCCGGUAUCCGAAUGGGGGAACCCGGCAUGCGUAAUAGCAUGUCAUCCGCAGAUGAACAAAUAGUCUGCGAGAGAGGUACCCGGGGAACUGAAACAUCUAAGUACCCGGAGGAAAAGAAAACAACAGUGAUUCCCUGAGUAGCGGCGAGCGAAAGGGGAGGAGCCCAAACCAGACCGAGGUCUGGGGUUGAAGGACCGCGAUACGGCAAGAAUCAUGGUAGGAGAACGGCAUUGAAAGGCCGACCGGAGAGGGUGCAAGUCCCGUAUCCGAAACCGUGAGGAAGCCCAGCGGGAUCCUGAGUACGGCGAGACACGAGAAAUCUUGUCGGAAGCAGGCGGGACCAUCCGUCAAGGCUAAAUAUAAGCAAGUGACCGAUAGUGAACCAGUACCGUGAGGGAAAGGUGAAAAGAACCGCGGGAGCGGAGUGAAACAGAACCUGAAACCGUAUGCUUACAAGAAGUCAGAGCACGUUAAGGUGUGAUGGCGUGCCUUUUGUAGAAUGAACCGGCGAGUUAUGUUAUCGUGCGAGGUUAAGCAGGAGAUGCGGAGCCGAAGCGAAAGCGAGUCUUAAUAGGGCGGCAGUACGAUGACAUAGACCCGAAACCGUGUGAUCUAGCCAUGACCAGGUUGAAGUUCAGGUGAAACUGAAUGGAGGACCGAACCGACCCCCGUUGAAAAGUUGGCGGAUGAGUUGUGGCUAGGGGAGAAAUUCCAAUCGAACACGGAUAUAGCUGGUUCUCCCCGAAAUAGCUUUAGGGCUAGCGUCGAGGAUGAGUCUUGUGGAGGUAGAGCACUGAAUGUACGAUGGCCCCAUCCCGGGGUACUGAGUAUAAUCAAACUCCGAAUGCCAUGAGAUAUUCCCGGCAGUCAGACCGUGGGUGAUAAGGUCCAUGGUCAAAAGGGAAACAGCCCAGACCGCCAGUUAAGGUCCCAAAAUGUAUGCUAAGUGGAAAAGGAUGUGGGGAUGCACAGACAACUAGGAGGUUGGCUCAGAAGCAGCCAUCCUUCAAAGAGUGCGUAACAGCUCACUAGUCGAGUGACCCUGCGCCGAAAAUGUACCGGGGCUAAGCAUACUACCGAAGCUGCGGAUUUGUAGUAAUACAAGUGGUAGGGGAGCGUUCCAUGCACGUGGAAGCCAUACCGAAAGGAGUGGUGGAGAGCAUGGAAGUGAGAAUGCCGGUGUGAGUAGCGAGAUGCAGGUGAGAAUCCUGCACACCGAUAGCCCAAGGAUUCCAGGGGAAGGUUCGUCCGCCCUGGGUAAGUCGGGACCUAAGGCGAGGCCGAAAGGCGUAGUCGAUGGAAAACAGGCAGAUAUUCCUGUACCCGCGAUGGAAAUGAAGGAAUGACGGAGAAGGCUAGCAUGAGCCACUUAUUGGAUUGUGGUCGAAGCGAAUAGCAGGUGCAUAGUAAAAUGCGUGCACGGGAUGUAAAACGUGACAGGUAAGCGAAACCUUUGGGGAGUAGCGAAGCAUGCGAGGCCAGCUUCCAGGAAAAGUUUCUAGUGCUGAUUCCAUAGCGGCCCGUACCAAAACCGACACAGGUGGGCAAGGAGAGUAUCCUGAGGUGAGCGAGAGAACUGUUGCCAAGGAACUCGGCAAAAUGACUCCGUAAGUUAGCGAGAAGGAGUGCUUAUGAAAGUAAGCCGCAGUGAAGAGGCCCAAGCGACUGUUUAACUAAAACACAGCUCUCUGCGAAGUCGCAAGACGAAGUAUAGGGGGUGACGCCUGCCCGGUGCUGGAAGGUUAAGAGGAUUUGUCAGUUUCGACGAAGCAAUGAAUUGAAGCCCCAGUGAACGGCGGCCGUAACUAUAACGGUCCUAAGGUAGCGAAAUUCCUUGUCAGGUAAGUUCUGACCCGCACGAAAGGCGUAACGAUUUGGGCGCUGUCUCGGCAGCAGACUCGGUGAAAUCUUAGUACCUGUGAAAAUGCAGGUUACCCGCAACUAGACGGAAAGACCCCAUGGAGCUUUACUGCAGCCUGAUAUUGGAUUUUGAUCAGAGAUGUACAGGAUAGGUGGGAGACGAAGAAGGAUGCACGCCAGUGUAUCUGGAGUCGACGUUGGGAUACCACUCUUGUCUGAUUGGAGUUCUAACCUGCGUCCAUGAAGCUGGACGGGGGACCGUGUCAGGCAGGCAGUUUGACUGGGGCGGUCGCCUCCCAAAGAGUAACGGAGGCGCCCAAAGGUACGCUCAGAUUGGACGGAAAUCAAUCGGCGAGUGCAAAUGCAGAAGCGUGCUUGACUGUGAGACAAACAGGUCGAACAGGGACGAAAGUCGGGAUUAGUGAUCCGGCGGUGCCGAAUGGAAGGGCCGUCGCUCAACGGAUAAAAGCUACCCUGGGGAUAACAGGCUGAUCUCGCCCAAGAGUUCACAUCGACGGCGAGGUUUGGCACCUCGAUGUCGGCUCAUCGCAUCCUGGAGCUGAAUUCGGUUCCAAGGGUUGGGCUGUCCGCCCAUUAAAGCGGUACGCGAGCUGGGUUCAGAACGUCGUGAGACAGUUCGGUCCCUAUCUGUUGUGGGCGUAGGAGAUUUGAGGAGAGCUGUCCUUAGUACGAGAGGACCGGGAUGGACCUACCGCUGGUGCACCGGUUGUUGUGCCAACAGCAUAGCCGGGUAGCUAAGUAGGGAAGGGAUAAGCGCUGAAAGCAUCUAAGCGCGAAGCCUACUCCAAGAUGAGAUCUCCCAUACGCAAGUAGUAAGACCCCUUGAAGACGACGAGGUUGAUAGGUCAGGGAUGGAAGCGUAGCGAUACGUGGAGUUGACUGAUACUAAUAGGUCGAGGACUUAAUCAA